GAGAACCUGCGGGAGAGCGCCCGGGCUUGCUGCUUCCCGGACCCGCGCGUCUCUCGAGCACCCUCGUCCCACCACCUUGUGAGGCCGUAGUGUUAUUUUUAUUUUUUAGAUCAGCAGACUGAGACUCGAGGUGACGUCACUCCGCAGAGAGGUUAGCUGACUUGAAGAAAACGGGUAUCUCCUCUUUCCAUUUCGCCCGUGUAAACAGCCGAACUGCCUAUUAUAAAAGCAUGGACUGCCAGCAUUGGAGUGGUCCUUAGAGGCCUAUUAUGAAAUCAUAGAAUGUCUGCAUUGGAAUCGCCUCACCUCCUUUUACCGCUGGAGAAGCCGACGGACAGACGGGCAGCGACCCCCGCCGUCGCACAACCCGUCUAGGCAGAGAGCGCAGGAGACGGGAGGGCGGCAGGGACACAUCUCCCAGCCAAGGACCUCCUGGGCCCGCAGAGGCCGCGACAGGUUCCCCCCACAGAGGGAACCAACUCUGCCGCAGGUUGAUGUGGACUUCAAGCCUGCAGAACGGAGAGCCCAUUUCCAUUGCUUAAAGCCACCUCGUGUGUGGUAUUUGUUAUGGUCCCUGUACACUCCCUUCCCUCCCUCUCCCAAGUCCAGUCCGCAGCUCGCUCAUCACCAGGCUCUUUUCCAUGACUCUUUCUUGAUCAGGCCUUUUUAUCGUCCUCACCACAGGUAAUCCCUCCCCGGAAAGAGAAGAUCACAGAUUUUGUCAUAUUAAAUACAUUGUAGAAAUUCAUGGUAGCAGGGGCAAGAUCAUUUAAACAAAACAGAAAGUUUCAGAGAGAGAAAAAGCCAAGGACAAAGAUUAAUCAUUUUUCUGCUUAAAAAAAAUGGCUUUGAUUUGCAACCAUGGAAUGCUC
rnacentral:lncRNA from 1 species